UACGUAGGGGGCUAGCGUUGUCCGGAAUCAUUGGGCGUAAAGCGCGCGUAGGCGGCCCGGUAAGUCCGCUGUGAAAGUCCAGGGCUCAACCCUGGAAAGCCGGUGGAUACUGCCGGGCUAGAGUCCGGGAGAGGCGAGUGGAAUUCCUGGUGUAGCGGUGGAAUGCGCAGAUAUCAGGAAGAACACCCGUGGCGAAGGCGGCUCUCUGGGACGGUACUGACGCUGAGACGCGAAAGCGUGGGGAGCGAACAGG
rnacentral:rRNA from 1 species